GAUGGACCCACUAUAUAAGUACCUCCGUUUUGUUUUGAUUCAGAUCAAGAAAAUUAUUAGCCAUCCAGAAUAUUAGUUCAAAAAACAUUUGUGCAGUUGAUUCAUUCUUGUCUUCAUAUUCUUUCUUGUACUGCAUUACUUAAUGACCAGUUGAGAUUAGCUAGAUGUUCAGCAGAUGUCUUUUGCUCUUCGUUUUCUUUCUGCCAUAAAGGUGGCUAUUGUUUGAUUUUUUUUUUUUGAUCACUUUGCCAUAAACACAUGAGCACAGGAUUUUUUGCCAUCCUUUAUAGCUACCAGGUUGCCGCUAACUAAACCUUUUUUUUUUUUUUUUGUUUUUUCAGAACAUAUCAAUCGGUGAUGGAGCUACGGCCUACAUAUGCAAACCUCAGGUGUGACAGUGUGGGUUGGCGCCAUGCUUUAACUUCUGUUUGGGAGCCUCGUGAACCUGCCACAGCCGAUAAUCAUAACUAAGAUGAGCCGGGCAAAUGAGGACACACACCCAUAGCCCAUAGGGAUCAUCUAAUGGGAAAACCACCCGAAGCCAACCCCCAGGUUACACUUCCAUCUACGGACCACACCUUCUUACUAACCUCAUUUCCACCUGUUCCCGUUGGACCCUCCUCUUCCUUCCCACUGACUAUAAAGCCAACCACCUGCCGUUCCCUCGCAGUUCUGUUCUGGACUCGAUCCUCAGAGACUACUCGAAAGAAAAGCACACAAUAUAUGGGGUGGAUCCCCCAACCUUUUUC